rnacentral:rRNA from 1 species
GCCUAUGCCCACACCACAUUGAGCCUGCCUCUUCUCAUCUGACUUCAGAAACUAGGCAAGAAUGGAAAUGAUUUGUAUUUGAUGGUGAGAUAGAUUUAAACUCUAAGGGCAUAGAAG